CACUGCAACAUCAAAGGCUGUGUAUUAUUGUUAUGUGUGAAACCUCAGCCAGCAUAAUCCCAACACGUGGAACUUCCACAUGCUCAGCCACUUGACAAUACUAUGAAAUAAGGAGACGGUAUGAGAACUAGCUAAGAAGAACAGAACAGAGGAUAAGAUCCAUUUUAGCUAGUCAUUCAUAUCCAGCAAAUUUAAGAAAAAACCUAUAGCUUGGUGGCACAGUUAGGAGCAGAUUGCCAGACAGAC